rnacentral:tRNA from 1 species
CCGCCCUUAGCUCAGUUGGUAGAGCGGCUCCCUUUUAAGGAGAUGGUCCAAGGUUCGAGCCCUUGAGGGCGGA